rnacentral:rRNA from 1 species
GAUGAACGCUGGCGGCGUGCUUAACACAUGCAAGUCGAACGGUGAAGGCGGAGCUUGCUCUGCUGGAUCAGUGGCGAACGGGUGAGUAACACAUGAGCAAUCUGCCCCUGACUCUGGGAUAAGCGCUGGAAACGGCGUCUAAUACUGGAUACGAGCUGCGAAGGCAUCUUCAGCAGCUGGAAAGAACUUCGGUCAGGGAUGAGCUCGCGGCCUAUCAGCUUGUUGGUGAGGUAACGGCUCACCAAGGCGUCGACGGGUAGCCGGCCUGAGAGGGUGACCGGCCACACUGGGACUGAGACACGUCCCAGACUCCUACGGGAGGCAGCAGUGGGGAAUAUUGCACAAUGGGCGAAAGCCUGAUGCAGCAACGCCGCGUGAGGGACGACGGCCUUCGGGUUGUAAACCUCUUUUAGCAGGGAAGAAGCGAAAGUGACGGUACCUGCAGAAAAAGCGCCGGCUAACUACGUG